AGGAAGGAAGGAAGGAAGGAAGGAAGGAAGGAAGGAAGGAAGGAAGGAAGUUAGCUUCUUCCUAUGCCCUCGGGGGGGCUGGGUUUGGGAACCCCCUCUCCAGACAAGGUCCUCUGGCCAGAGGAGGAGAGGGAGAGCCAGGAGGCCACUCUUUCCUGCUUCUUUUACUCUGGCUUUUGCUUUGUGCGAUCAGGGGAGGGAUCCCACAUAUGGGGGUGAUUAGUGGCUUUGGGGUCUCUGGAGCCCCUGUUUUAAAGAGAAGAGCAAGCGGACAGGGUCAGACGAGGGGGCAGAGAUGGAUGAGGCGAUGGCCAGAGCCAGGGGUCCCGGCCAGUCGGGCCGCAGAGGUGCUGGGGGAGGACCUGCCGCCGGGUAUGGACAGAAGCAGAAAAACAUUUAUGGCCGCCUGCAAGAGAGAGGGGAGAGCAAGGCCGGGUUUCCGGUAGGCCCAGGGAAAGUUCCCUUUCUAGGGGCUUUUCAAACAAACAAACAAACAAACAAAAACAACCACCACAACAGCAACAACAACAAAAAAGAAGAAGGGAGGGGUUGAGGCGCGCUGAAUUUUCCCUCGCGGUCUUGGAGCCUGCGGAUUUCCAUAAAAGAAGAGAAGACCACGCUCCCGGAUCCUUCCACAUCUGCCUCGUUUUCUCCAGCCGGUGACCCAUCUGGUCUGAAAGGGACGGAGAACUACACUUGCCACUGAGUCACUUCUUUAAGACCGGUGCACACACAAAGAUUCGCAAGAGAACCCGGGGCGUCCUUGCAUUUGAACACCACGCGAGGCGGAGGAUACUGAUAACCAGUCGGACAAAAUACUAAUAAAAUAAAAUGAAAUCGGGGGAAGCGCUGAGUGCAGGGCGAGCGGCGAGAGGCCGGAUCUUGGGUUCCAGGCGGCCCGGGGCGACGGGGGGGGCGCCGAGCGGGGCCAGGCUCCUGCUGGCGACCCUGCUCCGUCUCGGCGUCCCCAGCCCGGCCCGCGGCCCCCUUCUCUCCAGCCUCCGCGCCCCUCCUGCCCUCUCGGCUCAGAUGCCUGGUUUGGCCUCCCUGGUGCGAGAAUUUGGACCUAAGAAGGGGCAAAGUGACUCAAGCCAGACUCUCCAUUUUUCUCCCCUAGGCCUCUCCACUUGCCCAGGCGCUCAGCCACCCGGGGACCGACACAACAGGGGCUUCUGGGCCGCUCCCUACCCACUCCUGUAUGGUUUCCCCAAAGUCUAGCGACCUCCAACCCUCCUUGUUGGGGGGGGGGCAAAUAUCAGUGGCCAGACUCCUCUGCACCCUGUCAUGGGUGACCUCACUUCAGGAGUAUCUUGAAGGAGAAGAAAAAGAAGGCCGGCUUAGAGCCGUGUUUACAUCUAGUUCUACUGAUCUGUUCACAUCUGGAGAGUUUAUUUAUAACCCCCACUAUAACUCUCCCUGUUUGGAGGCACUGAUGUCUAGAAAAUAUUGCUCUAUCUCUAACCAUACCUAAAUGUGCUGUGCUUGUAUUUACAGAUUUAUGCUCGAGGAAAAUAUAAUUAUUUCCAUUGUAUUUGUGCAUAUACAAUAGUUAUAGAAGUAGAUUUAUAUAUGAGAAAAUAUACGACUCUCUUACAGCCAUCCAGUUUUAUGGACAUUUGAUAUCCUGACAGAUUUAUAUCUCCGAGCAGCUAUAUAGAUAAAUGUAUAUCGUUAGAAUUAUGUAUCAGGAGAUAUAUACUUAUUGAUUGUGAUAUAGAGUAGUUAGAACAUUCACUCAGAGCCAUAUAUGGCUGUGGAGAUAUUUCUAUAUUAUUAUCACUAUAUAUAGGCAUCUCUAUUUAUAACUACAUAGUUAUAAAAAUAGACAUAAGUAAUUAUAGUCCUGUAUGUACAUGCUGCUAUCUCUCUGUAGAGUUAUAGACACUUGUGAAUAUAACUCUGUAGAGAUAUCUGUAUGUAUAUAAGGGUGUAAUUACCUCGUGAUGUGUGUGUAUUGGGGCUCAGACCAGUCUAUCUCUGUACAGACAUAUUUAUAUGUAGGGGCUGAGAGAGACUUAUUCACAGAAAUAUUUCCAGAGAGCCAACUGAAAAGCAGGAUCGGGCCAUCUAGGAAAUCAGCUAGCAGAGUUCUUUACUUACGGGGAGAAGGCCACAAGGUAAACAGAACAUAGGAAGCCUUGAGAAGAGGAGGCAAAAUGACUGGGGUGUGGUGGGAACAGUCAAGGAGGACAGCGGUGAACCCCAGGCACCUGCCUGAAGACAGGGAGCUGGUUUUGUGAGGGGCAGGUACAGAUGGUCGUGGGCGCGGGUCUUGUGGAAGGGGAGGCCGGGAACAGUACCACAACCUGGAGGUACACUUCAGCUCCGCGGCCCGGGAGCAGGCCUUCGGUUUGGCUUUCAUGCACUAAAGGCCAGCUACCACCUAGCCCCUUCUGCGUUCCUGGCACAUUGCUCUUGAACCCCAGUUUCAGGGUCUCAGAAAGGUGGCUUCGGAGGUCAGGAGACUUAGGGACAGGACAGGGAGGGGUGUGCUUUCACUGCCUUUGCUCUCUGGGGCUACGGCCAGGAAAGCCAGGGACUGUGGCCAAAUAAAGCUUGCUUUCACCGGGGGCCUCCUGUGCCCCUGGGGGGGCUGUGUGGUAGGAGCCUGUGUGGUAGUUUGAGGGGUGAAUUUUCAAGUGUUGGGCUUAUUCUGAUGGGAGUUUCAGGAGGCCUUGCUCAACCCCCUUUUUUGGAGGCCCAAGCCUCAGGAGCUUAAUCCUGCUCCAUUGGGUCACUCCUCUGUUGCUCCCCAGCUUGGGGUUCCCUCCCUUCUGGGUACAGAAGGCUACACCCUCCAGCUUCCUACCAGCACUGCCCUGGGCCUUGAGGGGAGAAUUUGCCUCUAAUGUGUGGGGAACGUGGAUCGGCACCUCUAGACCUCAUUUCUCCCGCUCACAUCUACCUGGCUCUCUCUCCAGCCUCCUUCCAGGUGCCAACUGGGCCCGGACUCCACAAUUCUUCCCCUGCCACCAACCAUCCCAGGAGAAAAGACAUUUUUCCCCUGGCCCCGGUUCUUUCCAUCUUUCUUUCUUUAAACCAGGAAGUCACAGACCUCUUUGCUCAAUGGUUUGUUUGAGGGAGUUUCCCUGCACUCAGGAUCAGUGGCCGGUCAGGCUUCCAAGAUCUCUAGAAUUCUGGCAAGGAAGUGAAGACCCCUGGGCUGGGGUUAAAUGCCAAGUGCCACCCUCCACACACCCCUGCCCAUGGGAUUGGAGCUUCUCCGGGACAAGGACUCUAUCUUCUGCCUGACACAGAGGGGUAGCCCGAUACGUGCUUGUGGAGAUAAACCGAAUGGCGGUCAGUGCAACAGCUUUUGGUGGAGAGAAUCUCACCUUCUGUGGCCACUGCUGAGAGCUAGCUAGCAGGCACCUGGGGGCCCUGGCUGGAGCCAGGCCAGGAGCCCAUGGUGGCUGGAGAUUAGUGCCCAGCAGAGAGCAGCCUGAGCUGAGACGGGCGGGCGAGUAGGGGGUAGAGUGAGGCACCGAAGCCAGGAUCUGCCCCCAUAGAGUGACUCCAUCCCCCACCCCAGCCUCCUGGCUCCCCAGACCCCCAAGCACAAGAAAACUAAACCAGAACUGAGACCUGGACUGGGAAGGAGCUGCCUGUCAGCCUGAGGGCUCCAAAAAGGAACUACCACUUGGUCCAUUAAGAAAGACAUAAAUAGGGGUGCCUGGGUGGCUCAGUCAGUUGAGUGUCUGACUUCGGCUCAGGUGACGAUCUCACGGUUUGUGGGUUCGAGCCCCAUGUCGGGCUCUGUGCUGACAUCUCAGAGCCUAGAGUCUGCUUUAGAUUCUGUGUCUCCCUCUCUCUCUGCCCCUCACCCACUUGCACUCUCUCUCUCUCAAAAAUAAAUAAACAUUAAAAAAAAAGAAAUACAUAAAUAAAACAAAAAAUAAAUCAGCAUGAGACAGGCACCCUGGUAGAAGGAAACCCCUCAGCUGGGCUCCAGGGAUACUACCAAAUGCAUCAGAAUAAAUAUUUUAAAAGUUUUUUCACUUAAAAAGUUCACAAAUUUUCUGAUUCGGUAAUAUUCUCUAAUUAGGUUGUUUCAUAUAGUUCUUUUUUUUUUUUUAAGUUUAUUUAUUUGUUUUGGGGGGGGGGGUGCAGAGAGGGAGAGAAUCCCAAGCAGGCUUUGCACCACCAGGGAAGAGCCACCAGCACAGAGCCCGAUGUGGGGCUUGAACUCGUGAACCUCGAGCUCAUGGCCUGAGCUGAAACCAGGAUUCGGACACUUAACCGACUGAGCCACCCAGAGAUUACAAUGAAAACACAAACAGACACGAGUUUUUGGAUGACGGAUUGCGAGUAGUCUCUUGGACCACCUAAAAAGCCCCCUGGAGUCCCAGUGAUCUGUGGAGCUCACUUCCUCAGCCCCAGCCCAGGGUGGAGAGCCAGAGUCAAUGUCAUGAGAGUCUUCAUCACAGACAGAGCAGCUUGGCCUGUCAUUGAGAUCCUGGGUGUUGCUGCCCAGAUACCCAGACCCUGAGGUCAGCCUCCACCUCGCUGCCCUGUCCCUAUCAUGGAGGCAGCCAUCCAUCCUCUCUGUGGAUAAGGCUAUCCUCACCCCGAACCUAAGGUUUCCGAGCUGCUUAGAGGAAUCCAGAACUCUCUCUCUGCAUCUUUAUUACUGAUAAAGUCAUAUUACAGUAAUAUUACUGAUUACAGAUCUUGAGAGAUGAAAUGAAGUUGGAAAGAAACUGGAUUCAUCCAGGUAAAAAGAACAUUAUGCACAAUUUAUCACGAUGUGAGCUUCUGUUUGUUCUGAACAUGGUGGUCAUUCAUUCCAUGACUUAGUUCCAAUUUAUGGACAGUGUCUUGAAGCCCCCUCAAUACUCAUAACCAUAAUCGCUUCCAUUUAGAGAAGAUGACUAUAUGCCAGGUGCUUUAUACUGAAUUUGAUGAGGAAAUGUAAUCUCAGAAAGGUUAAGUCAUCUGCCCAAGGUCACAUAGCCAGGUUUGAACCAGGUUUCCCCAUCUGCUAUGUUUUAACACUUCCAAGUCAUGCCUCGUGGGUUAGAUAAAUAGCAGAUAGUCAUGGCAAUGAAACUGAUAUUUAAAAAAAAAUAGUUUUACAUCCUAUGGACAUACCGGGGGGUGGGGGGGGAGGGCACUUGUACACUGGCUCCUACAGUGGCCAAUCCAAGUGCAUGCACACUAUUGGCAUUUUUCUCUCUCUGAAUUCAGUGUUACUGGCAGCCCCUGUGAUUUCUCAGCAUAAUGACUGCCCUCACCAGUUGGAGUCCACCCCUUUCCCAUAGCUGAGGCCUCUGGGUUCUAGGGGAGCCCUUGACUUUCCACUACCCCAGGCAGAGUCUAGCUUUCUCACCAGGGUCAGCCAAUGUGAAACUGAGAAGUAUCUCGAGAUUAAUCUUCAGAACCCCUCACUCCCUGAGCAUCCCUCCCCCAACUCCCCAGCAGUGCUUUUCUUGUUCUAUCCUUGUUUGAUAAACUACCCCAGCGGUGCUUUUCUAUUUGAAAGGAUGUGAUCUGCAGAGGACCGCACUUAACACCUCGUGCUCUAAUGGUGGAGCUCACGGCAUUUCAGUGGCAAGAUAAUUGGGGAGGGGGAAACAGAGUCUUCCCAGGGGCUUUAAACUGCAUCAAUGCAUAAGGCUGAUCCUGCACCUCAUUAUCCAUUAACUUCAGAUGAAAGCUAUCAAAUUGGAUCCCUUAUUCUGAUAUUUGAAACUGAGCAGACAGGGGGCUGAUUUCUCUGCUUUCACCUGACUGCUGGCACCAGGCAGAUACCCUGCCAUUGUCCUGCCUCAUCUUGCCUUUGCCUCCCUCCCCUGGGGGGCAGGGUCCCUAAGGGACACAGCUCCCCAUGGUGUGGCCGCAGGGGCCCUGUGGAAGAGGUUGAGUUGUCAAAUGAGGAGACACCACAGCUAACACCCCCUCUCCCCCACCCCCCACCAACUCUGGAAUGAAGAUGGAGAGUUUUCUGUGCCUGGUUUGGUUCACGGAGACACAUAGUCCAUCAUUUGAUUUUCUACAAAGAGUAUUCCUUCCCUGCCCCCCAGCAUCCUCUAGUUUUUUUUCUCAGAGCUGGAAGGAUCUUAGUGAUGUCCUAAUCGAACCACUUCAUUGUGAAGGAAGGGAAACUGAGGCUCAGACAGACACCAGGACCCAGGUAUUUCGAUCCCUAAGCCGUGCUGCAUCUAGCUCUCUUUGCACUUCAGCUGAAUACUUUUUUCACCGCUCCCUCUAAACCCCAGGAUCCAAGCUUACCUUCCAUGGCAGACUACACAGACACCAACAAAUGCCAUGAUGGCGGAGCCCUCCCAGCCCAGGAGCGACCACUUUUGGGCACAGGCUUCAGCAUACCCACACCAUGCUCCAUAAUCCCACUAGAGCCCAUCUGUGAUUUCUGUGAAGUUAAAGGGUUUCUCUGUUCCCCUGGUUUCUGCCCCACUCCCCAGAGCUGGCCAGGGCCUGCAGAGGGGCUGGAGGGCUCAGGCAGAGAGCAAAUGGGUAAACACAACUUUUGUUCCUCGCAGCCUCACGUGAGGACUGAGGCUGCUUUGAAUAGAGAAGUUUCCUUAAUAUGCUGUCAAAGGAAAGAAACCUGUCUCAUCGUCCAACUCUGAUGACUGAAGCCUGGGGAAGGGAGUUGAGCUUAAUUAGCGUUAGGAAUGCUGAUUCCACAUAAGAAAGAACUUGCCAGCCCGGGGAGAGCCGUCUGAUGACUGGGAUCUCUGAAUACACCAGUAUUUCAGGUGUGCUUAUAAGAAGAAAUUAGAACACAGACACAGAGAAAAGACCACAGGAAGUCAGGACCACGUGAAGAAGACCAUCUACAAGCCAAGGAGGGAGACCCCGAAAGAAACCAACCCUGCCAACACCUUGAUCUUGGACUUCUAAACCUCCAGAACGGCAAAAGAAAUAAAUUUCUAUCGUUUAAGCCA